CCUACGGGAGGCAGCAGUGAGGAAUAUUGGUCAAUGGACGCAAGUCUGAACCAGCCAUGCCGCAUGAAGGAAGACGGUUCUAUGAGUUGUAAACUGCUUUUGUACGAGGACAAACUCAGAUACGCGUACCCGUCUGAGAGUACCUUACGAAUAAGCAUCGGCUAACUCCGUGCCAGCAGCCGCGGUAAUACGGAGGAUUCAAGCGUUAUCCGGAUUUAUUGGGGUUAAAGGGUGCGCAGGCGGUCGGAUAAGUCAGCGGUGAAAGCCCGAGGCUCAACUCCGGCAGUGCCUCUGAUACUGGUAGGCUAGAGUGUGGGAGAGGUAGGCGGAAUGUGCGGUGUAGCGGUGAAAUGCUUAGAGAUCGUACAGAACACCGAUUGCGAAGGCAGCUUACCGAGC
rnacentral:rRNA from 1 species